rnacentral:rRNA from 1 species
UACGGGGGGGGCAAGCGUUGUUCGGAAUUACUGGGCGUAAAGCGCGCGUAGGCGGCUCUUCAAGUCAGGCGUGAAAGCCCCAGGCUUAACCUGGGAACUGCGUUUGAUACUGUUGAGCUAGAGUGUGGAAGGGGCUACUGGAAUUCCCGGUGUAGUGGUGAAAUGCGUAGAUAUCGGGAGGAACACCAGUGGCGAAGGCGACUUCCUGGCCUGUUCUUGACGCUGAGGCGCGAAAGCUAGGGGAGCAAACGGG